rnacentral:rRNA from 1 species
CACAUAGUUAGCCGGAGCUUCCUCCUUAGGUACUGUCUUUUAUCUUCCCUAACGACAAUAGUUUACAAUCCGAAAACCUUCUUCCUAUACGCGGCGUCACUGCGUCAGAGUUUCCUUCCCAUUGCGCAAUAUUCCCGACCUGCUGCCUCCCGUAGGAGUCUGGGCCGGUAUCUCAGUCCCAAUGUGGCCGUUCAACCUCUCAGUCCGGCUACUGAUCGUCGCCUUGGUAGGCCGUUACCCCACCAACUAGCUAAUCAGACGCAAGCCCAUCUAUUAGUGGAUUGCUCCUUUCCUCACUGUAUCAUGUGAUACUGUGAGCAUAUGCGGUAUUAGCAAUGAUUUCUCACUGUUAUUCCCCUCUAAUAGGCAGGUUGCUUACGUGUUACUCACCAGUCCGCCACUAACCGCUCCCAAUGUAAACAAAGGGUUAAGUUCGUCGACUUGCAUGUCUUAUGUGCGCCGCCAGCGUUUUAUCCUGAGCCAGGAUCAAACUCU